AGAGUUUGAUUCUGGCUCAGGAUGAACGCUAGCGACAGGCCUAACACAUGCAAGUCGAGGGGCAUCGGGGCGAGGAGCAAUCCUUGCCGCCGGCGACCGGCGCACGGGUGAGUAACGCGUAUGCGACCUGCCCGUUGCAGGGGGAUAAUCGGGAGAAAUCCCGUCUAAUACCGCGUAAUGCCGCGGGGCUGCAUGGCCCUGCGGCCAAAGGAAGCGAUUCCGGCAACGGAUGGGCAUGCGUGACAUUAGCUAGUUGGCGGGGCAACGGCCCACCAAGGCGACGAUGUCUAGGGGUUCUGAGAGGAAGGUCCCCCACACUGGUACUGAGACACGGACCAGACUCCUACGGGAGGCAGCAGUGAGGAAUAUUGGUCAAUGGGCGCGAGCCUGAACCAGCCAAGUCGCGUGAGGGAUGACGGCCCUACGGGUUGUAAACCUCUUUUGUCGGGGAGCAAAUUCCGCCACGUGUGGCGGGGUCGAGAGUACCCGAAGAAAAAGCAUCGGCUAACUCCGUGCCAGCAGCCGCGGUAAUACGGAGGAUGCGAGCGUUAUCCGGAUUUAUUGGGUUUAAAGGGUGCGU
rnacentral:rRNA from 1 species